ACCACUGCGCCACCAGGGAAGCCCGAAAAUAAUGUUUUAUUCAGUAAAGCAUGUUACUGAAUAGUUAAGUAAUAGUUAAGUAUUAUUAGAAAAAUCAGUUAAACAGUUGGUAAAAAAUUAAGUUAGCUCUCAUUCUUUGCCAUAUACAAAAGUAAAUAACAGAUUAAAUGUAAAGAAGGAAAUCUGAGCCAGGAUUAAAUAAUCUGAAGUUGUGAAAAGAUUUUCCACACAAGAUUCCAAAAGUUGAAAUCAUGAUGAAAAAGAUUCAUCAACUUGGAUAAAUGAAAAUGACUUACCUUGUCAAUAAACAUCACAGAAAUUGAAAAAAGAAAAGAAUGCAGAAACUUUUUGCAUCUUAUAGAAAACUUUAAAUAUUAAUACGAAAGAAUGAACCGCCCCAAAGACAAGGAGUCAAUAUUCAAAGAAAGAAAGGCAAAGGAAAAAAUGGGCAACAUCCUAAUAAACAAAGAAAGCAAACUAAAACAGCAGUUUGUUUGACUGCCUUAUCAUUAUACAUCUAAAGAAAAUAAAAAUGAUAUUUUCUUUCUAAGGUGAAGAAGCACCAAAAUGCUAUGGAUUUUUUGCCUGCUGAAUUGGUAUUGGUUAAGAAGACUCAUACCACUGUUGGGGAGAAUGUGGGAAAGUGGGCCCUCCCAAGCACUGUUGGAGAGAGAAAUUUGUGUGAUCAUUACAGGAAGUAAUCUGCAUAAAACUUGAAAUAUGCACAUCCUUUAAAUAAAACAAAUCCACACCUGUCUGUAUUAGUUAAAUGUUCGGAAUAUGUGAUUUUCUAAUAAAAAAUAAAGAAGAAAAGAUUUUCAGGCAAACCCCAGCAAUGGAAACUUGGGGAAGUAAAUUAUUAUCUCUGAUCUUUGGUGUUCUCACCUAGAAAAACUCUUGUGAUGACUUUGAGCCACCUCAAUCAUCCAGCAUGACCCCCGCCAACCCAAGAUCUUCAUCACAUCUGCAAAGUCUCUUUUGCCAUUGAUAUUACAGAGGCCGCAAUGUGGUAAUCAAAGCACAUCAGCCACCGGAAGUCAAAACUGCUCGCCAGGACACAAGGAGAAAGGCAGGAGGAAAGCGCACAGCAGGUGGAAGGGCUUCUGAGGAAGGCUUCCAUGGCGGAGAGGAGGUGGGGGGGCUCGCUGGCCGAGAGCUUUUGUAGUGCACCGUUCCCACAGGCCAAGCCAGAAGAAAAGCCUGCCAUGAAAGCUCCCAUUGGCUGAGAACAUGGCACAACAGAGCCCCAGAAGAAUCAUACAGUAAUCGUACUCAACAAAUCACGCACUAAGGAUGGCAUUAAAUGGUGUCUGUGUGUAUGUAUGUAGUGCAUUCAGCAGGUAGUUCUCGAACUUGGAUAAAAAAGGAAACAACAGCAUGUCACAGCCAUAGGACACUGGCCCUGCAGCUCACUCCACUAACUCCCCUACAUUUCAUUCCAAGCUCACAAAACAGCUUCUUUUUAUUAUCUGGCUUCUAAUGGGCAUUUCUCCCUGACCAGUGAACACACUUAACGAUUCACUUUCUUCCCACUAACCUAUUAAGCCAGCAUUAUAUGUCUUAUGCAUCAGGCCUUUGGUUAUCAUGGGUCCUUCUCUAAAAGACUGGCCUGGGUAUAUUAGCAGAUGAACUCUGCAACCAGCAAAGAUGAUAGCCACAUGCCUCAAUGUGGUGAUCACACCAAGGUUCUAAUCCCCAUGAAGCCCUGUCUCAGCAACCUCAGGCCUUCCUGGAUAACACUGUUAUGCUGAUGUGUUCUGAUCCCAAACCAGCAUUAUCCUAAGCUCUUUACAGUUGCAUCCAUCAGGAUAGGCUAGGUUAUGCUGCAGCAAGACUGUCCCCAGAUUCCGGUGGCUUAAAACACCAGUGGUUUAUUUCUUUUUUUUUUUUUUUUUUUUGCGUUAUGCGGGCCUCUCACUGUUGUGGCCUCUCCCAUUGCGAAGCACAAGCUCCGGAUGCACAGGCUCAGUGGCCAUGGAUCACGGGCCCAGCCGCUCCGCGGCAUGUGGGAUCUUCCCGGACCGGGGCACGAACCCGUGUCCCCUGCAUCGGCAGGCGGACUCUCAACCACUGCGCCACCAGGGAAGCCCGGUUUAUUUCUUAUCCAUGGACAUGACCAAGGUGAGUCAGCCAGGGGCUCUGCUCCACAUCACCUUCAGUCUAGGACCUAGGCUGAGGGGCAGCCCCAGUGCAGCUUAUGGGAUCUUAGUUCCCCGACCAGGGAUUGAACCCAAGGCCACAGCAGCUUGAAAGCUCCAAGUCCUAACCACUGAACCGCCAGGGAAAUCCCAUGGAACUCUGACUGUCCUGGAGGAGAGGAAAAGGGACAAAAAAGAAGUGAGGCACCCGCUAACUCUGAAAGCUCCCAGCCAAACAAGGCACAAGGCCACAUCUAAUUUCAUGUGACCAGGGAACUGCAAUCCUCCAUGUUCCCAGAAGGAGAGACAGUCAGACUCUUUAUUAGCAGAAUAAUAACCACCAUAUGCUUGGUGCUGAUGACCUCUUAGAGCAAUCAGUUCCCAACUUGAACUAGUUUAAAGGUUUUUCUUGCAAUGAGCCAAAAUCUGUCUGUGCUAGGCAGCAACAAGUCAAUCAAAGUCCCUGCCCUCCUAAGAUUUAUACUGUAGUCGUUCCAUCCAUUAGUCCCUGUUAGGUUAAAAUAACUUUACUCCCUCACUUUCUUAUCCAUUCAGCAAGCAUUUACUAAGUACCUACUUACCUGCCAGGUACUGUGCUCUAUUUAGGAGCUUUAGGGCUGAAGACGUCAUGAUCUUUCUGGAGCCCACGUUGUAGGGGGUUAGCUAGCCAUCGAAGAGGACCAGGUGCCAGAUCCUCCUUAAUAACACAGAACUAGGCGACCACAAUAUUUCAUUUCAAACACUCAAAGGGGGAAUAUGCCACAUUCUGGAGAGAAGCCUUCUAGGGAUUCUCUAACUGUGUUCUGGGGUGCCGUAAGCGGUUCCAAGAGGGUGCUUCAGAUAUUACCUUGGGAAUGAACAGGCUGCCA